rnacentral:lncRNA from 1 species
GGGAAAUAAACAACAACGAGACACCGAACAACUACGAACAACACAAACCAAGCAGGAUCAACACAAUGCAAGCGAUUAACAAGAUUAAUAAUUGGACAAGCUCAGAGCAAGCAACCGGGAAAACCACCAGGAGAGACCUAGAUGGACGGAGGUUGUACACGACGGUCGGAGUCGGAGAAGCCGUCCUCAAGCAAUACGGAUGACGUAAACCCAUAUCUGCUUUCAGUCUCCAAGAUCUGAGAACCAGGACGUGACUCCCUCAACAGAAGAGAAACGGAGACGACCGUGGAGAGAAGAUAGGCAGAGAUGGAACGACGGACAGACAACGAGAAAAACGGCGAAGGUCCGGCGGCCGCACAACGGUGGCGGCUGCCGGAAACAGAGAAGAAAAGCGAGAGGGUUAGAGAGAGGUGAGAGCAAAAUAUAUUUAGAGAGAGAGGGAAAGUAUUAUGUUCCUUAGUCACAUGUAUAGCUAUGUUCUACAAUUUCAGAUAAAUCAUCAAUCAG